AAUAAUUUAAAAAUUAUUCUUAAAUAACUUUGUGCUGAAUCAGAGAUCUAGGACUCAGGAAUAUAAUCUGGGACAUUUAAGAGUGCUUGCACUUUUAAGUAAUCCACAUUUUUGUUCUUAAUAUCACAUAUAAAGCAAAAAGAAGAGAGAAUUCAGUGAAUAUAUAGAAAGAACUUUCAGUCAUAUUUUAAUGAUAUGCCAGAAAACUACAGUAACUCUGAUGCAUCCUUGACUCAAAUAGUUCUGCAGAACUACCAGAUGCAAGGGGGGUUAUAGGAUGAUGAAGAAUAGCCAUGGACAAAAUAAAUUAAUUAAUUAAAUAAAAGGGUGAUUGAGAGACUGUGAAAUGAAAUGCUACCUCAGAUCUUACCCUGCCUACCUUGAAAACGCGUGGAAUUCAUUUCAUACUACAUCUGAGCCAGUUUAACUUUUCUUUGCAGAUAUCUUGAAUGUUGCCAAAUAUGAUUAAAAGAAUAGUUUACGUUCUCAUCAGGUACCACCUCCAUGACAUACAGAACCCAAAUUUUAAUCAUGAGCAAAUGGAGCUUUCACCAAAGUACUGAUAACUGCUCUUGAAAUAGGAAACCAAGCCCUGGUGAGAUGGAAGAGACAGUUCAAGUCUUGUUGCUGAAAACACCUUUACCAGUCUCAAGGUAAUAAAUUUGGAGACAUGCAGAUAUCCAUUACUUUAUUCUGUCAACUGUACUUGGGUUCACAAUAGCUUAAGUCAAUUAUCACAGUUAUAUUUUCCACAUAUCCAGGAACUCAAAGAUUACAGCAUCCCCUCUCAAAUCAUAAAUGCCAUACCUGCAGGCUGAACCACAUUAUACUCUGAGACUUUUGUGUUGUUAACAGCAUGAAGUCUGCCCAUGGAGAGAAAUGAGCGCUGCCAAAGCUAUGAGGGAUGAUGACUAUUUUACUGCUGUGCAUUUAAUAAUCCCCAUUCAGCAAAAAAUUCCUGGAGUCUUACAUCAUUCAGACUACCCAAACAUUGGAUACAAUGACUGAAGGAAAGAAGUGCAGUAACAACUUUGAGGCUGUAGUUUAUUUUUGUAUUUGUUUCCUUCUUCUUCUUCUUCUUCUUCUUUUUAAAGUAUGCUUCUUAAUACUAUGCACUAUACUGUAGAGAAAAAGAUUACAUACUGAAGUUGUAAAUGACACUUGUAAGUAAUAAAGCC
rnacentral:lncRNA from 1 species